UGGCGGCCUUAGCGCGGUGGUCCCACCCUGACCCCAUGCCGAACUCAGAAGUGAAACGCCGUAGCGCCGAUGGUAGUGUGGGGUCUCCCCAUGCGAGAGUAGGGAACUGCCAGGCA
rnacentral:rRNA from 1 species